rnacentral:rRNA from 1 species
CAGCAGCCGCGGGAAUACAGAGGAUUUAAGCGUUAUCCGGAAUUACUGGGUGUAAAGGGAGCGUAGACGGUUAAACAAGUCUGAAGUGAAAUGCCGGGGCUCAACCCCGGAGCUGCUUUGGGAACUGUAGAACUGGAGUGUCGGAGGGGUAAGCGGAAUUCCCAGUGUAGCGGUGAAAUGCGUAGAUAUUGGGAGGAACACCGGCGGCGAAGGCGGCUUACUGGACGACAACUGACGUUGAGGCUCGAAGGCGUGGGCAGCAAACAGGAUCAGAUACCCCCGUAGUCCCUGUCUCUUAUAC